GAUCCUGGCUUAGGAUGAACGCUGGCGGCGUGCCUAACACAUGCAAGUCGAACGAAGCAUACGGACUGGAGAUUCGUCGAAGGACCGUAUGACUUAGUGGCGGACGGGUGAGUAAUGUAUGAGCAACCUGCCUUUCAGAGGGGGACAACAGUUGGAAACGACUGCUAAUACCGCGUAACGUAUCGUGGGGGCAUCCUCGUGAUACCAAAGGAGCAAUCCGCUGAAAGAUGGGCUCAUAUCUGAUUAGCUUGUUGGCGGGGUAACGGCCCACCAAGGCGACGAUCAGUAGCCGGACUGAGAGGUUGAACGGCCACAUUGGGACUGAGAUACGGCCCAGACUCCUACGGGAGGCAGCAGUGGGGAAUAUUGGGCAAUGGGCGAAAGCCUGAACCCCAGCAACGCCGCGUGAAGGAAGAAGGUCUUCGGAUUGUAAACUUCUUUUAUGAGGGACGAAGGACGUGACGGUACCUCAUGAAUAAGCCACGGCUAACUACGUGCCAGCAGCGGC
rnacentral:rRNA from 1 species